rnacentral:lncRNA from 1 species
AAAUAAUCAAUUAAACUAAUCAUAAUGAUCGAUUUUAAUCACUUUUUGGGAUUUCAGAAUAUAUAACUUGUAACCUUCCCUCUCAAGAUGGUAGCUAAGAAAGAUGUAUUUUCAACUUUAUCUUCCAACUUUUUUUUUGGGUAUUUAAAAAGUUGAAGAUUAAAAAGAAUUACUCUAUUUUCAAAAUCAAGAUAAAUUAUUAAUUCACAAAUAAAAUUUAUGAAUCUUUUAAAAUAUUGUAGACUUACAAAUGUUUUAUCCAUCAUAAAAGCUUGAAACUGAAUACUUCGCAUUUAAAUUUUAAAUCUUAAGUAUUUGCAUUAAUCUUUAUUAGUUAUCAUCCAACUUUUUCCUCUAUUGAUCAAGCAUAUUUAUCUAUAAUCUAUCUAUACUCUAAAUGUUGUAUGUAUGGAGUACUGUUUAUGCCACGUGUCGGCUAGUUUUUUUUUGUGUUUUGUUUUUUUUUUUUUUUUGAAAAAAUCCCAAUACCCACCAGCAAGCACAAAAAAUGUCAAAAACCCCUUCAUCCACCGUCAUUACUCAUUACCACCCUUAUCUAUUCUAAGCAUUCAACUCAAAAUUAUCAACACCGCUACCACUAUGAACCUCUUGUAGCCAGCAGAAAAAGCUCCAUUGAAAAAAAAGUCCAAAACCCAUCCCUGCCUUUAGUCUUCAACACCAAGCAACCAUCAACUCAUACACAAAACAAGCAACACUACCAAUAUAAAAAUCUUUAAGAAAACCACCAAAAAAAUAGGAAAAAGAAAAGAGGGUUUCGGAUUAGGGUUGUUUUAAUAGGUUUUGGUUUUGGGUUUUUAAAGGAGAAAAAGCCUAGGACGAAAGGAAGAACAUAGUAGAAGAUGGGUUUUUUUAGCAACAGAGAAGGAGUACUUUGGAUUUUGAAUCCGCGGUUUUAGAUAUGGAUGUAAGAAAAUCUUAGAACUUUUUUAGGGAAAUAACUUGAUAGGAGGAAAGAUGAGGAAAGAAGGAUUUCUUGGGUGAAAUUUGGGAUGAAAUAGUCGCUGAUGAGUGGCGGCUGAUGGCGGUGGUCGCAAUGGCGACACUUUUUUUUUUUUUUUUUUUUAUCUUUUUUCAUUUGGUCAAUUGUGACUUUUUCUUUAAAAGAAUUUACUUUCUUUUAUUUCAUAAUUAUCUUUUUGUUUUUUUUUCGUAACACCCAAUUUUUAUUACUUUUUAGUACGAUCCAUUUUUUUUAAUUUAUGUCCAUUUAUCUUUUAAAUAUUUUUAUAUUCUCAUAACUUGUUUUGGUUUUUUGUUCAAUGGGACAAACAUUUUUCAUUACUGUUUAGGGGUUUUUCUUUUUUAUAGUGCGGUGUUUCCUUUUUAAUUUUUUAUAUUUAAUUAAUAUAUUUUCUUAUUUUUUUGACCUACUUGAUACCAAAUUGAAGAUCUUUCACUUUUCGAUUUCGCUUUUUUAAUUUUUUCUAUUUACAAUUUUUUUUCCUUUUUAUUCGAUAAAUAAUUUGAAACAUCUUGAUUUUUUAAAAACAGUGUUGGGCCAAUUUGAUAUUAUACCAAGGAUGUAUUUUUUGGGUUAUUUUUUUAAUCUAAAAUUUUUAAAACAUAGAUAUUAACAGAGAUAUUGAUAUCGCAUUUAAAUUUUAUUUUAUUUUAUUUUUUAAUCUUUCCUUAAAAAAAUCUAUGAUAGAAAUUUUUUAAAAAAUAAAUAUCACUACUAAUAUUAUAUGUUAACUCAACUCUUUUUAAAAAACUUUUUUCGUCAUUUUAUUCCUAUUUUUAGAUUUUUUUUUCUUUUUUCACAUUUAAUAAAUAUUUUUUAUAAUUUUUUUAUAGGCUGAUCAAUUCUAUAUUAUUGAUUAAAAAUAUCUUUUAUACCUGUUUUCAAUUAAAUAAUUUUGUUAAAAAUAUCAAUGGAAAUGUCAAGGUAAUCUUUAAAUUUGAUUUUUUUUUCGGGCUUUUUUUUAGUUUAUG